rnacentral:tmRNA from 1 species
GGGGGCGUUAAGGUUUCGACGGGAUUGUUGAAGCCGGAGAAGCGGGUAGUGGAUUCUCGUAGGCCACUUUAAAAAACGGGAAACUUAAAUUAAACGCUAACAAUAAUAGCAAUUUAGCUUACGCAGCCUAAUUAAGGCAGCCGUCCUACCUGGGAGCACCACGGCCUAGGAUAGGGCGUCGACAGUGGUGAACGUGACACGACAAAGCUUUGAGUCGUGCAUGACAAAUGAAGCUACUA